ensembl:lncRNA
CAAGAUAGCACCUGGUUCAAUGACAGGUUUGGUGAGUCAGCCAGAAGGUAAGUCCAGACAUGCCUUUCCUCUGUGGUUCCUUGACCCCUUGUGGGUAUUGAGAGUCCAAGCAACUACCUGGUCGAUUUGUUCCAGCAAGGGUCCUCCUGAUUUCCCCAGCCAGGGGCCGCCAACGUUCGGAAUUUAGCUUUGUUUUGCAGUGAAGAAAUGGUUUUGGAGUUUGGGGUUUGGAAGACGUGUUUGGGGAAGAAAAAUGGGAGCGAAUUCCCUAUGUACAAUCUUUUAUCAGAAUCAACCUGCACAAAGAAAAUGGAAAGUUACGGCCCAGUGGAAUGGGAAGGGGAAGAAACCUGUUCUUGAUUCUAAUGCGAAGGGCCAUAAAUUAAAAAUGAACAGUAGGUAAAGGAAGAAGACAAGAAUACACAAGAAUUUGAGUACCUGAGCAGCCCCAUACAUUUGUUCCACUUAGAAACCAUGACCCACCUGUUUCUCUCAACCUGCUCACAGUCAAUGGCUGGCCUGCAUGAAGUAAAGGAGAGGUUCCACCACCCCAGAGACACUUCCUCCUUUCUAAGAGGAUCUGCACAGUGGACUGUUCAUAUGUACGGAGCAUCUCUGAGUUCAGUAUUCAAAAUCAUGGAAUGCCUGUCUCUAAAACAUCACCUUAAAUGAACAGUGUGAAGACUGAAGCUGC